GACGAACCGAGCGACCGUUGUUCGGAAUCACUGGGCUUAAAGGGCGCGUAGGCGGGCUGCCAAGUCCGGGGUGAAAGCCUCCGGCUCAACCGGAGAACGGCCUCGGAUACUGGCGGCCUGGAGGCGGGUAGGGGCGUGCGGAACUGUGGGUGGAGCGGUGAAAUGCGUUGAGAUCCACAGGAACUCCGGUGGCGAAGGCGGCACGCUGGACCCGAACUGACGCUGAGGCGCGAAAGCCAGGGGAGCGAACGGG
rnacentral:rRNA from 1 species